AUUUCCGUCAGACCUAACACCCCUGUGUUAUAUUUUUUCUCAAAAGAUAAUGAUUUCUUACUAACAUUGCUGUUGUUAUUUUUUCUUUUUAUAUAAUCUUGAAUUUUUUAUAAAUUUUCAUAAAUUGACAAUUUCACCACUUUUGGAGACAUGCGGAACGAAAAUGGUAACCCUGAUGGUGGUGAGUAAAUUCUAAAACUGAUAACCCUAUUCAGCUGUUAUUUACAUUUUGAAACGUCAAAAAAAUCUCAAAUCAUAACAAACGCGGCUUCGAUGAUGCAUUUUUUUUCUCAUCACAGCCGUCGGGAUCUAAUUAAGUAUAAAAAUCUAAUCGUUUCACGUAGAAAGUAAAGUUGGCACCAGCCCACGUAUUAAUGGACCGAUUUGUAGAGUUCCAGAAGUGGCAAUCGGCUUUGAACGUCGGAAAAAUGGCUUCCACAGAAGUUGUCCACUGGAGCUCAAACUUUCUGGAUACUAGGGAUCUAAUGUCGAAAAUGCAACUGGAGAUUGGACGAAAGUGGCACGCGAUUAUCGAUUAGUGAUAAACUGAAGCAAUGUGUGGUUCAACGUACCGUUAACCGUCCUGGAGCGUUGCAUAUGGAUCAGGUUAUCGUGCUGCACCUGAUGGGCUAGGAUGCAUUUGGGCUGCCAGCGGAGAAAUCCGCCAUGUACCGGAAGAUUCCGGCGGAUAGAUGGACCUAGAAAAAGUCAGAAUAGACUGCGACGUGCGAUCCAGAGUACUACCAGUAGACCCUAAACUUGUUUCUGAUAUUGUAUAAGGAAUUGAUGAUGAAUUGGCGUAUCAAAAGAAGGCUCAGGAAUCGUAUUGAUUAGACGAUGUUAGCCUAUAAGCAGGUGGAAGACGUGGAGA